rnacentral:lncRNA from 1 species
CUGUCUCUUGUGUGGUUAUUUCGCGCAGCCCAGUCGGCCCAGUUCCCCUGGAGUGACCCCUGACCCACGUGCAACCUGGCAGUGCUCCUCACACAGGCACCCCAGCCUGGCACAAGCCAGAAUUCCAGACCCCAAGAAGAGGAGCAGGUGUUGGGCAUAACCACACUGUUGGUGCACACAGCUAGGGAAGGGUACAGUGGCCAGAUGGCUGUCUGCACGUCGAAGAGAGUGGCCCCAGGAGGAACCAUACCUCCUCACGUGGACAGCCUGAUUUUGGACUUCCAGCCUCCAGAACCACAAGCACUGAAUUCUGUUGUUUAACCCCCCAGGCAGCUUGAGUUGUCAUGGUUUCUGCGGCUACACUGGGGAUAUGAUCGUACACACUCAGGGGCACGCAGGACAUGCCAAGGUGUGUGAUCGAUUUUACUUAUUCUGCCAGAACUUAUCAUGAUUCCUGGCUCUGGGAAGUCCCCCUCAGCAUCGUCUCUGUGUAGAGAAGUUGUGUGGCAGUCCUGGGCUGCUUCUCAGAAAGACCUGUGUGAAAGGCUGACCCUGGGCUGCCCUCGGGGAAUGCCAUUUUCCUGGCAGGGCUAGGGGCAGGUCUCUGUCCCCAGCCGUGUGCAGCAACAGUGUGGUUACGCCCAGCUCCCGCUCCUCCUCUUGGAGCCUGGAGUCUGGCUGUCAGGCUGGGCUCCUGCGUGAGGAGCGCCUAGUGAGAACCCUGAGCAGAGACUCAGCUCCACCAGGAGAAGAUGCCUCCCCAGCACUGCCACGGCUCGCUGCUGGAGGGAUCAGGCGUGGCCCAAGGGACUCCAUGGGGACGGGCUUUCUGGAAGCCCGCACCUUGUCUCCUCUGGACUCGCCCCCAUGCCUUUUCCUGUGGCUGCUUUCCUCCCUCCUUCCCUGCAGUGAGUCUGAGCCACGAGCACCACUGAAUGCUGAGUCCUGUGAAUUCCCACAGCAAACCAGCAGAUUUGGGGGCACUGGGGACCCCUGCAGUCCCUCCAGCAAUGUCUCGGC